CCCUCCUUGGUUUUAGGCCCCAGGCACUCUCCUGCUGGCUGUGACUCCUGGACUCAAGAUAGUGGUUGAGGGAUAUACAUUUGUUCCCAAGAAGUGGGAGCUCCAGAAAGGCAAAUUUCAGUUCAACAUCAGGUCUUCUCCAGUGAGCUACAGCUAUCCACAGGGCCAGACUGCUUUCAGGAUCCUAGUUUCCUGACCAGGGAUGGAACCUGGGUCCAGAGCAGUGAAGUGUCAAGGCCUAACCACUGGACUGCCAGGGCCCGCAUCCAAAUCCAUCCCCAGUUCUCCUGGAAGAUGCAAAUCUGAUCCUGGCUAUGUGAAAUGAUUCAGCAGUUCCCCAGGACUUUGCGAACAAGCUCAGAAGCCUGGCUCUGGCUCCUGCUGGCUCACCCGCCCCGCUCCUCACACACCUUCCUACACUCGCUGGUGCUUCUGUCCCCAAGAAGGGGUCACCUGUGGUUCUCCGGCACCGUGGGCUUCCAUGCUUUGGCACCUGCGGUUCUUUCUGUCUGGAGGCCCUACCCCCUCCCGGAUGCGAAGACUCCUCAUCCUUUUAAAAUACAAUUCAAGUGCCGCCUCUUCCUCAAACCCUCCCGGGUCCCAGCUGGACUUAGAUGUGCUCAUCGCAUUUCUCUGUGCUCCAGCAUUUUCAUUCUGCUUUACUUGACUGUCCUCCCUGCUCCAGUGUAAGCUUCUUGAGGGCAGACGCUGUCUUUUUCCUUCCACACCCCUCAUGCCCUCCCAGUGGGCUCUGCUGGAAGCCAGUCCGGGUGGGCGCACUCCUCCCUGGGCACUGCGGGCCCCCCGGGACACUGAGCCCGGGAAGCCAGGAGGCAGGACACCAGGCCCCUGGACACUGUCUGUGCCACGCAGGACCGCGAGUCCGAGACCCAGAGCGGAGCUUCGGAGCUUGACCGCCGCCACAGGCACAGGAGUCUGGGCCCGGGAGUCUGCUCACAUCCAACCCGGGCUUUGCAAAGGAGGCCCGGAGCCGAUUGAGGCUUGGUGGGACCGACAGACACACCUCGCCAGGGCAUUCAGAAGGGCUCGUGGCGGGCAGGAACCCGCAGCUGGGUGGAUCCUUGACUUUCCCACCCCACGGGCAGAGUGCGAGCGUGUCAGAUAGGACAAAUGGAACUAUUUGGGAUUCCAGCCGCCGGGCCUGGGAUGGCGGCCUUCCUGAAUCCCGGUUCCUAGGGCGCACAGCCUCCCCCUCCCCCCACCUAGUCCCGGGAAGCCACGUGACCUGCGCCCCCAGGAGCCACUAAUCGCCGGUCCCCGUCCCUUCUCCAAAAUAGGGAAGCGACAGGAGCAGAUCGAGUUUCUCGGCCCGUAUUUACAGGUUUCCUGGACGAAGCCAAACCGUCUACCUCCUUGCCUCAUUCCCCCAGCGCGCGUAGGGGGAAAAAAGGGCCCCCUCCUGCGCCCCACCCCCACCCCUCCAGGCCUCCCAGCCGCGGGUGCGGCCCCUUCCUCUUCCCUCCCUCCGCCGCAGCUCGGCCGGCCCCUCCGGGGGCGACGCUGAGGUCGCCGCAUUCCAAACCCCGGGCGGCCCUUUGAGGUCACGUGGUGUGAUGGGGGUGGGGCGGCAGGACGCCCCUGACCCAGGCCUGCGACCUGCAGGCCUCGCAGUGAGGCGAAUUCUCCAGCCUGCUCCCCAGACCUCGUGGGAGUGAGGCAAGGCGGAUAUUUACUCCCCAGCACCUACUGUGUGCCUGGCCCAGGCUGAGCUCUCACGCUUCUUACCUCCAGGCCUUCCUGGACCGGGCUGGGGGCUCACAGCUUUCCCGAUGGAUAUACUGACCCUGAUGCCGGGAAGGAUUGAGGGCAAGAGGAGAAGGGGACGACAGAGGGCGAGACGGUUGGAUGGCAUUACCGACUCGAGGGACAUGAGUUUGAUCUAACUCCAGGAGAUGGUGAAGGACAGGGAAGCCUGGUGUGCUGCAGUUCAUGGGGUCGCAGAGAGUCGGACACGACUGAACCGUUGAACAAUACUGGCUGGGAGUCACCAAGGCAGAAUGGAAGCGGGGGAGGUGGGGCGGGGGGGUGAGAGACCGGGGUAGAGCCAAUCGCUUAGUUUAUGCAAAGACGGACCUUUGUCAGUCUCAAGUUAAGAGAAGACCGUGUCCCCUCUGUUUAACCAGGGACCCAGACGUCUCUCUCGGUGGGUAAGGUAGCCUGGAGGAGGGCAUGGCAACCCACUCCAGGGUUCUUGCCUGGAAAAUCCCAUAGACAGAGGAGCCCGGCAGGCUACAGUCAGAGUUAGACACGACUGAAGCGACUUAGCAAGGCAGGCAGACCUCUGAGACCUGUGUUUUAGGCUCCGCGACAAGAAAACGAAGAAGGAGUUGAUUUCCUCCUGGGUUGGGCAGAUGGUCUCUAAGCUGCUCCCUCUAUUUUAGUAUGAACUGGGUUAGAAAUUGCCUUUACUGGAGCUGAACCUGGUCACCGUGAAGGGUCCUUGACUCCUUUAUCGGUUCAAGGCAGGAGUGAGGUUGAGGCACUGCCCACAGCCAGCCUGCCUGAGAAGUUUGAUCUUAUAGGACAGGGAGAGUACAGGGGAUAGAAUGGAGGUGACAGAAGGGUGGCAGGUUUUGGAUGGGGGCGGGAGGUCUGCAUUUGAAUAUUUAUAACUCAGAUCUGAACCCUUACCAAAUGUGUCAUGUAUAUUAAUAUUUAUCCAUUUGCAUGAUCAUUCACUAUUUUACCAGGAACAGGCCCUGACCUGGAACUGGAGGGAUUAAGACUGAGUUCCUGUCUUUGAGCUUACAGUCCAGUGGGAAAGCUAAACAAGUGAGGAGGUAUUUGCAGUGCAGGGAACCAAAGCGCGACAGUGAGGACCAGACACUGCUGUGGGAUAACACAGAGGGGGAGCGCUGAGCCUCAGACUAGGUUGGGAAGGAGGAUGGGUAUGGAAUACGUGUUAUCUCAACUGAGGCUUGAAAUUUAGACUGUCCUUAAUCUAGGACUUCCCUGGUGGUCCAGUGGCUAAGACUCCAUACUCCCAGUGCAGGGGCAGGAGUUUGAUUCCUGGUCGGAGAGCUAGAUCUCGCAUGCUACAACUAAAGAUCUCAUAAGUCACAAUUAGAAAAAAAAAAUAUGCCACGUGCCACAACCAAGAGCUGGCACAGCCAAAUAAUAAAUAUUAAAAAAUCUUUUAUCUGUUGCGGUGAGAGUGGAAUAGGAAAGAAUAGCCUUCCAGAUCGAGGACACAGUGCAUGCAAAGGCCCAGAAGCAGGCUCAGUUGGGCUGGAGUAUAGCCACCCUGUGGAUGGUGCGCAGAACAGGAAGAGAUGGAGGGAGUGCUUCUGGGGGAAGA